UGACUUCUUUUUUUAAAAUCAUUAAUUUUUUUAUAUGAUAUUGUGAUUGCAUGAAUGAACAAGAGCAGCAUUUACUUAACUUCUUAGCCUAGUAGUUAUUCAUAUUGUAAUAUGUAGUUUGGUGAUCUAUUAUUUUUUUAUUUGUUCUUCUCUUUCUCUGCAGGUUCCUUAAUCCCUGUCCCUUUAAAAAAAACAGCACCUCAUUACAUAAAAAAAGGCACUUUUUAAGAGCCACAUUUGUUUUUGUUUAUUGUCUUAUUUGUAUUGUUUAUUGUCUUGUUAUCUCAGUCUCUCUCUCUCUCUCUCUCUCACUCUCUCUCCAUCCCUCUCCCCUCUCUCUCUCUCUCUCUCUCUCUCUCUCACUCUCUUUCCAUCCCUCUCUCCCUCUCUCUCUCCCCUACCAUCUGAGUGGUGGUUGCUUUUUAGAGGGACGGAGGACCUGGGUUGCUGCCUCUUCUUCACUCAUUGUAAUUAACUGAAAGUGUAAAGGUCGGGAUCAAAGAAUAUAGAUUCAUUUGUUGGUGUUGUUUUUAAGCGCACAAUAUACCAAUUUAAUGGAUAGAGACUGGCAUAUAAUACCUGGUUAUUGCACCAAAUGAAAUUUGCAGGAGUCUGCACAAUAUAGGCCAACCUAUAAGAUAAGAUUGCUGUUGGCAUGAAGUCUAAGUAAAUCAAACUUAAGUUUUGUGAGGAAUGCCAGUAUUCAAAGAUGGUUUAUGACUACAGGAAAGCAAACAGCUCGCUUGGCGACUUUAUGUUUCAGGAUUUUUCUGCACUUAAAUAAUUUGCCAGCUUGCAAACAUCCAGAUCUAGUAUUACCUUUGAUAAUGUUAGAAAAGUGAUACGUUAAGCAUAACCUGCUGCUGUAUGACACAUGCUAAAAGAUUGACUAGCUCUGUCUUUCUUGUACUUAUGUGUGUUCGGAUCCCUGUAUGAUAUUUAAUAUUUAUAUUUUUUGUAUGUGUGUACACUUCAGAAUGACAAAGCCAAAAUUCAGGCCUUGCCCAAGCUGCCAAGUCCGUCAGCAGGCCAACCGCAAAACAUGCAGUGCUUGUUUUUGCCACACUGCCAAGCAAGCGGUUAUUAAAAACUGCAAAAAUUAAUGAUGACUGGGGCCAGAGGGUCGUCAAAAACAAAAAUGCAUCUCGGGUGGUGGCCUCUGCCCAAAUAGCUGUCCAAAAACUUUCUGCCUUGGGCUAUAUGCCCAUAUUAUUUAUCAGCCAGAGGCACAAGGGCACAGGCAAGUUGAUGGCAGAUGUAGUCACGCAUCUGCCACCGACGCAAAACAACACACGUUUCUUAACCAGCAUGAAGAGGGCAUAUGACUUCAUAAUCAAACUGGAUGGUAAGAUAAGUUUUAUGUAUAGUUCAUUAGUGGUUGUCGUUGAUUUCUUUGACAAUGUGUACUGA
ensembl:lncRNA